rnacentral:rRNA from 1 species
UACGUAGGGGGCAAGCGUUGUCCGGAAUCAUUGGGCGUAAAGCGCGCGUAGGCGGCCAGAUAAGUCCGGUGUGAAAGUCACAGGCUCAACCUGUGAAUGCCGCUGGAAACUGUCUGGCUAGAGUCCGGAAGGGGCGAGUGGAAUUCCUGGUGUAGCGGUGAAAUGCGCAGAUAUCAGGAGGAACACCAAUGGCGAAGGCAGCUCGCUGGAACGGUACUGACGCUGAGGCGCGAAAGCGUGGGGAUCAAACAGG